rnacentral:rRNA from 1 species
AAUCAACGCUGGCGGCGUGCCUCAGACAUGCAAGUCGAACGCGAAAGUUCCCUUCGGGGGCGAGUAGAGUGGCGCACGGGUGAGUAACACGUAGGUAAUCUACCUUUGGGUGGGGAAGUAACAGCCGGAAACGGCUGCUAAUACCGCAUAAUGCAGCGGCUCGACAUCGAGACAGUUGUUAAAGCGGGGGAUCGCAAGACCUCGCGCCUAAAGAGGAGCCUGCGGCGGAUUAGCUUGUUGGUGAGGUAAUGGCUCACCAAGGCAUCGAUCCGUAGCCGGCCUGAGAGGGCGGUCGGCCACACUGACACUGACAUACGGUCAGACUCCUACGGGAGCAGCAGUCGGAAUUUUGGGCAAUGGGCGCAAGCCUGACCCAGCAACGCCGCGUGAAGGAUGAAAAUCCCUCGGGAUGUAAACUUCGCAAGAACAGGAAGAA